rnacentral:rRNA from 1 species
GGGGGUUACGCGGGGAAGUGAAACAUCUCAGUACCCGUAGGAGAAGAAAAUAAUAAUGAUUCUGCUAGUAGUGGCGAACGAACGUGGAUGAGGCUAAACCGUGUGCAUGUGAUACCUGGUAGGGGUUGUGUGUGCGGUGUUGUGGGCCCUGAUGAGGAUGGCUACUGACGUCCUGCCCGCGCAUUGUUGUUAGGUGAAGUGGUGUGGAAACGCCUGCCGUAGAAGGUGAUAGUCCUGUAGCUGAAGAUGAUGGUGUGUGGGUUGUUGGGUUGCCCGAGUAGCAGCGGGCUCGUGGAAUCUGCUGUGAAUCUGCCGGGACCACCCGGUAAGCCUAAAUACUCAGUGUGACCGAUAGUGGAUAGUACCGUGAGGGAAUGGUGAAAAGUACCCCGGGAGGGGAGUGAAAUAGUUCCUGAAACCAUGUGCUUACAAUCCGUCAGAGCACUUUUUGUGUGUGAUGGCGUGCCUUUUGAAGAAUGAGCCUGCGAGUCAGCGGCAUGUCGCGAGGUUAACCCGUGUGGGGUAGCCGUAGGGA